CCUACGGGAGGCAGCAGUGGGGGAUAUUGGACAAUGGGGGAAACCCUGAUCCAGCGACGCCGCGUGAGUGAAGAAGUAUUUCGGUAUGUAAAGCUCUAUCAGCAGGGAAGAAAGAAAUGACGGUACCUGAGUAAGCAGCCCCGGCUAACUAUGUGCCAGCAGCCGCGGUAAUACGUAGGGGGCAAGCGUUAUCCGGAAUUACUGGGUGUAAAGGGAGCGUAGACGGUAAAGCACGUCUGGAGUGAAAGGCGGGGGCUCAACCCCCGGACUGCUCUGGAAACUGUGGAACUGGAGUGCAGGAGAGGCAGGCGGAAUUCCUAGUGUAGCGGUGAAAUGCGUAGAUAUUAGGAGGAACACCAGUGGCGAAGGCGGCCUGCUGGACUGUAACUGACGUUGAGGCUCGAAAGCGUGGGGAGCAAACAGGAUUAGAUACCCCUGUAGUC
rnacentral:rRNA from 1 species